CACACAGUAAACGAUGAAUACUCGCUGUUUGCGAUAUACAGUAAGCGGCCAAGCGAAAGCAUUAAGUAUUCCACCUGGGGAGUACGCCGGCAACGGUGAAACUCAAAGGAAUUGACGGGGGCCCGCACAAGCGGAGGAACAUGUGGUUUAAUUCGAUGAUACGCGAGGAACCUUACCCGGGCUUGAAUUGCAGAGGAAUAUAGUUGAAAGAUUAUAGCCGCAAGGCCUCUGUGAAGGUGC
rnacentral:rRNA from 1 species